UAAUAAGUGUUUUAUGGCACUUUUUAAAUCCAUAUCCACCUUGUGUGCAAUGUCAGUCGAUCUUCUUCAUGGAGAUCGACCAAACAUCAACCUUUAUCUUUUAACUCUUUGUCUUAAUAAAUAUUAUGAAUAAACAAUUCAAAAUA
rnacentral:misc_RNA from 1 species